AAAUCAAAGCAAAAAGGUCUUAUAAGCAACAAACAGAGAGAGAGAGAGAGAGAGAGAGAGAGAGAGAGAGAGAGAGAGAGAGAGAGAGCAUUUGUGAACAACGAACGACCCACUCAUUCAAUCUCCUUUGUUCCGGUACUGAAGCACUCAGAGAGUUCUAGAUCUCGUUCAAUUCCACAAUUCAGAGCGACGAGAGGAUCACUGAUUCAAGUCGAGCUGCGGAUCCGCGUGGGAAGAUCAUACGCCCCGUGCCUGAGGUGAACGUUAUCGGUUAGGUCAAUUGAGGUUGGCUCAAUCUCUACGAGAGAUGGUUGAGUGCAGUGUGUGUCGUUCGAAGCUGGUUUCGAGGGCUUAUGAUGAUCACAAGAUUAGGGUGACUUCGAAACAGCGAGUCCUCAAUGUGCUUUUGGUUGUUGGUGAUUGCAUGUUUGUUGGUCUACAGCCUAUAUUGGUGUACAUGUCGAAGGUGGAUGGGAAGUUCAACUUCAGUCCUAUUAGUGUCAACUUCUUGACAGAGAUUGCAAAAGUUGUUUUUGCGAUUGUUAUGCUUUUGAUCCAGGCCAAACACCAAAAAGUUGGAGAGAAGCCUCUUCUCUCUGUUUCAACAUUUGUCCAGGCAGCUCGAAAUAAUGUGCUUCUUGCGGUUCCAGCCCUGUUGUAUGCAAUUAAUAACUACCUCAAGUUCACAAUGCAGCUAUAUUUCAAUCCUGCUACUGUGAAGAUGCUUAGCAAUCUAAAGGUUCUGGUCAUUGCUCUUCUGUUGAAGAUGGUAAUGAAGCGGCGGUUUUCCGUCAUUCAGUGGGAAGCACUUGCUCUGUUGCUGAUAGGGAUUAGUGUAAAUCAGCUGCGUUCUCUUCCUGAAGGUGCUACUGCCAUUGGAAUUCCUCUUGCUACGGGUGCAUACAUCUGUACUGUUAUCUUUGUCACUGUCCCAUCGAUGGCAUCUGUCUUCAACGAGUAUGCUCUGAAGAGUCAGUAUGACACAAGCAUUUAUCUACAGAACUUAUUUCUGUAUGGCUAUGGUGCGAUAUUCAACUUUCUUGGGAUACUUGCAACUGUUAUAUACAAAGGUCCUGAAAGCUUUGACAUCCUACAAGGACACUCUAGAGCAACCGUGUUUCUAAUAAUGAACAAUGCAGCACAAGGGAUUCUAUCCUCCUUUUUCUUCAAGUAUGCAGAUACAAUAUUGAAGAAAUAUUCAUCCACAGUUGCCACAAUAUUUACCGGGAUAGCAUCUGCAGCACUCUUUGGACAUGUUAUAACCAUGAACUUCCUUCUUGGAAUUUCUAUCGUUUUCAUUUCAAUGCACCAGUUCUUUUCACCCCUUGCCAAAGUGAAAGACGAGCAACAACAGAACGGGAGCAUAGAAUUAGGCAAUGCAAAGGAUGCUCACAGGGCUAAUGACUCAUUCAUCAACAUGGCCGCAGGAGCAAAUGAAGAGGUUAAGAAUAAAUUUGCGAAUCCAGUUUCUUGUACUUGUCCCAAGUUAGAUCGACACUAAUGUUUAUCAGUCUUUUUUUGUCAUUGUAUGUGUAUUCAGGCUACUCACCGCGGUGUCACUGACGACAGAAUGCCGCUUCUUCCCAGAUGAAAAAGCUUAUUAAAAGAUUUUGGUUCCGAGGAAUUAUUUUUGGCCGAGAAUAUUCUAGAAAAGGGUCGCAUACCAGCAUGAUAGAUGAAAGCAAACUUUGAUGAGACCAACUCUUAAUACUCUCAAGAGUCUGUUUAACUUCGUUGUAAGAACCUCUCAUGUCUAUAGCUUUUGUGUUGUCUUCAGAUAGAGUGAGCAAACUUGGUUUAAGUGAUAUAUGUAUUUUUGAUAUAAUAAUAUUUGUAUUCUUUGGUUAUACAAUAUAUAGCAUAUUUUUCA